UGCGUUCUUUUAUUGCAAACUCUGUAUUAUUCCAGACGACAAAAAUCGUGUAAAGCUGCCUGUAAUCGGAAACGAUAUCGACUCGGAUUUCAUAAACGCCAGUUUCAUUGAUGGUUAUUUGUCACCAAAGAAGUAUAUUGCAGCCCAAGGGCCACUUGCUUCCACAAGAGCUGAUUUUUGGAGUAUGAUUUGGGAACAAAAUGUUGGGGUCGUAGCCAUGGUUACAAACCUAGUUGAGGAGUCAAAGAGAAAGGGCUUCCAAUACUGGCCGAUAAGCUCUGAAAAUGACUGUCAGUAUAGUGAUUACACAAUGCGGUUCUUUCG